rnacentral:rRNA from 1 species
UACGUAGGGGGCAAGCGUUGUCCGGAAUCAUUGGGCGUAAAGCGCACGUAGGCGGACAUUUAAGUCAGGGGUGAAAUCCCGGGGCUCAACCCCGGAACUGCCUUUGAUACUGGGUGUCUGGAGUCCGGAAGAGGUGAGUGGAAUUCCGAGUGUAGAGGUGAAAUUCGUAGAUAUUCGGAGGAACACCAGUGGCGAAGGCGGCUCACUGGUCCGGUACUGACGCUGAGGUGCGAAAGCGUGGGGAGCAAACAGG